rnacentral:rRNA from 1 species
AACGCGAAGAACCUUACCUGGGCUUGACAUGCUAGGAAUCCCGCAGAGAUGUGGGAGUGCCCGCAAGGGAACCUAGACACAGGUGCUGCAUGGCUGUCGUCAGCUCGUGUCGUGAGAUGUUGGGUUAAGUCCCGCAACGAGCGCAACCCUCGUUCGAUGUUGCCAGCGCGUUAUGGCGGGGACUCAUCGAAGACUGCCGGGGUCAACUCGGAGGAAGGUGGGGAUGACGUCAAGUCAUCAUGCCCCUUAUGUCCAGGGCUUCACGCAUGCUACAAUGGCCGGUACAAUGGGCUGCGAUACCGUGAGGUGGAGCGAAUCCCAAAAGCCGGUCUCAGUUCGGAUCGGGGUCUGCAACUCGACCCCGUGAAGUCGGAGUCGCUAGUAAUCGCAGAUCAGCAACGCUGCGGUGAAUACGUUCCCGGGCCUUGUACACACCG